UGUCGAGUUGAUUUACUCAUUUCGUAUUGUAUAAACAAGUUGACCUUUACAUCUUUGCAAUCUCAGGGUUAAGUAAGCUUUUGUUAGUUAGACUAGCAUUGAAUUUUGAAAAAGAAUAUGCUUUGUUUUUGCUUGAUUUGCGCACGGUGAUAAUAUUUAUUUGGAUUUUUGCACUAGUUGUGCUAGUGAGGUUUGAUCACACAAUGUUGACAAUCUUUUCGUUCCUUGUAGGUAAGAGAGAUCACCAACUCUGUGUCUAGAGAGCCUAAGCGUUGGACGCCUGAUGCUUUACUAGCAAGUCAAGAGGUGGAUAACUAUGGCAAGUGAAUUUAGUGGCAGCAGAGGAGUAUGUAAUUCAGUUGUUUGAAGAUUCCAACCUCCGUGCAAUUCAUGCAAAGCGAGUCACUCUUAUGAAGAAGGAUUUUGAAUUGGCUCGUCGGAUUGGAGGGAAGGGGAGGAUCUGGUGAGAGCGUGACAACAGUAACCGACUCCAUACUCACUCAUAGUAACAAUUUUAAAAACAGUCAGCAUUUUCUGUAAUCACCUGUAUACCAACUGCCUGUGAUUCUGGAUUCCCACGUCAGAUUUCAAUGAUAGACGUAUUAUUGCAA